rnacentral:rRNA from 1 species
AUUGAACGCUGGCGGCAUGCCUUACACAUGCAAGUCGAACGGUAACGGGCCUUCGGGUGCCGACGAGUGGCGAACGGGUGAGUAAUGCAUCGGAACGUACCUUUCAGUGGGGGAUAACGUAGCGAAAGUUACGCUAAUACCGCAUAUUCUGUGAGCAGGAAAGCAGGGGAUCGCAAGACCUUGCGCUGAUUGAGCGGCCGAUGUCAGAUUAGCUAGUUGGUGAGGUAAAGGCUCACCAAGGCGACGAUCUGUAGCGGGUCUGAGAGGAUGAUCCGCCACACUGGAACUGAGACACGGUCCAGACUCCUACGGGAGGCAGCAGUGGGGAAUUUUGGACAAUGGGGGCAACCCUGAUCCAGCCAUGCCGCGUGAGUGAAGAAGGCCUCGGUUGUAAG